UGUCUUUCCUUUAUAAAUUAACCAGUCUUGGGUAGUAUCUUUAUAGGAGUGUGAAAACAGACUAAUACAGUGGGUGAGUUAGGGAGGAUAAAGGGAGAAGUGAAGUAUUGGGGAGGGGAGACAUCAGUGAAUGUUUCAAAAAUGUUCUUAUGACAUAUAGCCAUGAAAGAUACUUUAUUCUAUCACACUUAAGAAACUGUACACACUAGAUAAACAAUAAAUGACUGUUCAGUGACUGAUCCCAAUGACCUAGACAUCCAUAGGAGCUCAGCUGUGCAGGUAGUAUUGUGCCCAAUAGACGGUGCCACUAUUGAGGUGAGAAGAAUAAACCUGGGGAAAGAGGAAAAUAGCUUUGAAAAAUGUACAGUUUAUGUGUUUGAAUUUAAGAAACUUGGCUGUCUCAUCACUCUUUGAGGAUAAUCAAACACAAUAAAAUGAUUGGGUUGGAGAGGAAGAACUCUCAGGUACUCUUUUCUAAAAUCAAAUGAUCCUAUUAUGCUAAGCAUAACAGGCAAGUUCGAUUAUAUGAUCCCUCAAAUUGCUAAUUUCUUUUGUCUUGUUGUUAUACUGAAUGGAUAAAGCAUGUGUACAUUUUAAUAUUGGUUGCAAGGAAGUAUGUUCAAUCUUUCUAGAAAGUAAUUUAUAGUAAAUAUUUAUUGUAGUAGUGGAGAACUUACCACUUGAGAGGACUGGACAGAAUCCUCUCUCUAGCAACAGCAGCAGUAAUAUUUAUCAAGGGCUUUCUAUCUUCCAGGCUCUGUCUUAGUUUACAUGUAUUAACUUAUUUUUGCCUUGCAAUAAUCCUAGGAAUUAGGUAUUAUUUCUUCUGUUGUAGAGAUGAGGAACCGGAAGCAUAAAAAGAUUAGCCCAGAUUACACAACUACUCUAUGAUCAGACUAGAAUUCAAACCAGGUGCUGAGCCAGGUGUUCUACAUAAAUUAUCUCAUUUGUUUUUUCUGACAACAUAAUAAGGAACUUGCUUCAUGGCCAUUUGUUCUGAUGAUCAGUUUGGACAACCACCCUUUAUUCCACCACCUCAGACCAUAGUCAACAUCGUGUAACCAUCAUAGCAGUAAGUAAGUACUUAUUUCUUCCCUCAUAGACUGCUUUAUUUUGAAACAAUUUUUCAGAUGGUGUCUUUCUUGAAUAAGCAGAGGAUGCUUGGAAGCAUUCCUCACAUACACUGUGUUGGGUCAUUCUUAUCUUCAUAUCAUGUCUCAAAUGUAGGCAAAAUCUAUAGGUGUCUAAACCUACCAGUGCUUCUUUUCAUGCUUGACACUCCCUUAAGAGGAGAAUCAAAUGGAGAACAGGAAUAUCUAUCACAUAAUUAGGGACAAACUUUAAAGGGCAAAUAUUUCAGAGAGAUACUGAAUAGGGGGUUGAAUUCAUCCUAGGUGUAAGUGACUGAUACCUGAUCUUUUCCCUAGUCAUAUGGGUGGUGACGAGUGGAGGCAGAAACAGACAGGUAACAAGGGAAAUGAAUGUGUUCAGAGAAAAUCUGGGAGCAAUGUGGAAAAAAAAAAAUUGGACGGGUUGGGGAAGAGGCAAACCUGGAGACUGGGAAACCUCAUAAAUUUUACCUACCUCAAAAUGGUCCCUGAAAUCAGCUCUGCAUAAAACUUAAAUAAGUUUUGGAUUACCGUUCUGGUUACAUGCCUCCCCUGGCCAAAAUAUUAAUAAUUGGAAGUUGAUGAGACAUGAAAAUUUAGGUGGAAAUCCCUAAAGAUGAAAGUGUGUAAAUGGCAAUCAUCACUCUACAAUACGAUACUGGUACCCACUGAUUCUUAAUUCACAUCUCCCUCUCAGUGCCAACUUGCUUUUCCCCCGGUUUUUCUUAUGUCAGUAAAUGACACUUCUUUUAUUCCAAAACUUAGGCUGAAAACUUUGUAGUCAUCAUGAUUCCUCUAUUUCCUUCAGAUUAUGGGGUCAGCAUAAAAUGCAAAUUUGUUUCUAUAGCUGACAGGCCCUUCAGGGUCUGGAUCCUGGUUAAUCCCUGGCUUUGUCUCCUUCCAUCCUCCCCUUGCUCAUCACACUCCAAUGCCGUGGACUUUCUGCUGUUCUUGGAACACACAUAUGUGCUCCACCUCAAGGCCUUUGCACAUGCACUUCUCUCUGUGUUACUCUUUUCCUGAAUAUCCCUCUGGUUCACUCCAAUCAGGUCUCUGCCCACAUAACAUAUUACAGAGGCCUUCCCUGGCUACUGUAUCUUAAUUAGCACUUCCCAUUACUCUCUGUUUAUUUUGCAUUUUUUUCAUUAUAGCAUUUACUAUUACCUGACAUGACAUAAUAUUAUGUGCCAUGAUGUUAUGUAUUUAUACAUGUAUUGAUGUAUUGAUCAAUUGUGUCUCUCCCACUAAAAGGUGUUAUAUCAGUUUUUCAUAUCUGUUAUUUGUUUCUCUUUUGUAGUCUCAAGAUUUGUUGAAUGAAUAAGUAAAUGAACAAGAGGGUGAUGUUCUUGGGAGGUAGCCAUAAUCUAGAACUAUGUACAUUAAAACGACGUUAUGGUUCAGGCAAGGGUAAAUAGUAGGCAACUACAUAAUUUUCAGGGUGUUAGGUGUGGAAGCCACUUACUGUUUAACCCUAGGUACUGCCUGAUUCCCUUGGUUACCAAGGAUAGGUCUUGCCAUCUGGUGGGUCAGAGGUAAAAAACUCUAUCCUGGUGCCUCCCUGGGGAAACCAGUCCCCAUGCAGAAGAUGACAACAAAUCUAGGGAAGGUCUUUUUAAACUUCUUGAACAUCAGUUUUUUUUUUUCUUUAUGAAUUAGAUUACUGUCAGAUGCUUUUCUAAGGAAACUCACAUCACAAACACUUAAAAAUAACAAAAGUAAACCCAGCAGUGACAAUAACUACACAUUCCUGAGGAACUUGGGGGAGGAAGGAGACAAGUUUCAAGCCAGAGUUUCAUCGUGACUAAGUAUCCUAUAACUUUGUCUGACAACCCUCUCAAACUGUGGGGGUGUCCUAUGGGGACUGCUUCCAGUCUGGGCUACUUGGUACAAAGGUAUGAAUACAUUAACAAUAGACAAUAUAGACAAAUUCUCUACUUGUAUAAGGUAAAACUAUAUGAUCCUUGUAAACAGAGAAGUCUCUUCUUUCUUAAGUAAAAGACAGACUUGAAAUAGACCAAUAAAUUGAUAAAAGGAACCAACAAGUGCAUGGUGUAUAGAAUUUGUGAGGCCAUGACUGGCCAGACUCUUAAAAGCAUGGAAAGUGUGAAUUUCAGAGACAUGGAAGGGCUCAGCGACUACAGAGAUAAAAUAGUAAAAGAAAACACAAUCCAGGAAGAAUAAAAUGGAAAUUUGAGCCAGUAGCUGUUUUCUUAUUUAUAAAGGGGUCUUUUGCAGAAAAGAAGGAACUGCUGCUUUUUACUGCCUUGUUUUUGAAGUCCCCCAUGACAAUCUACUCCUGUGAAACUCAUACCCAACUUUCAGAGCAGUUCCUCGACUAUGUGAUGGUUGAACUUUGCAGCCUGGAAUGUCCUUCAUCUCCCUUUGUUAUCUGUUAUUUAGAUUUCAAGGUAGGCACCUCCCCAAACCCUUCUAUAAAAACAAAUGCUCUGUGUUCUUUUCUUCCGUGGCGUCAUCACUUGUUUACACCAUCACUGUGCCACACUGGCCCACGGUAGCGCUUUCGAGACCUGCUCCUCUGAUAGUCUGUGAUUUUUCAUCAAGGCAGUAUUGCCUUAUUCAUUUCUGUCUUAGUUUAACAGAAUUUUUAGAGAGUAGAAUUUUUAGCAGAUUUCACCUUGUCUACUAGUAUUUUCAAUGCUUCAGUUUUCUUUUAUUAUUUAUUUAUGUAUCUAUUUUUAAAUUUUAUAUUCAAGAGGUACAUGUGCAGGUUUGUUACAUGGGGUAUAUUGUAUAAUGCUGAAGUUUGGGCUUCUAUUGAUCCUAUCAUCCAAGUAGUGAAUAUAGUACCUGAUAGAUAGGUUUUCAACCCUUGCUGCCUCUCUCCAUCCUCCUUUUUGGAGUCUCCAGUGUCUAUCCUUCCCAUUUUUGUGUCCAUGUGCACUUAAUGUUUUAGCUCCCACUUACAAGUGAGAACAUGUGGUAUUUGAUUUUCUGUUUCUGCAUGAAUUCACUUAGAAUGACGGCCUUUCAGCUGCAUCCAUGUUGCUAUAAAGGA